ACCUCAAAUCGGGUGAGACUACCCGCUGAACUUAAGCAUAUCAAUAAGCGGAGGA
rnacentral:rRNA from 4 species